rnacentral:tRNA from 1 species
GGUGUAGCUCAGUGGUAGAGCGCUUGCCUAGCAUGCGUGAGACCCUGGGUUCCAUCCCCAGCAUC